GAUGAAGAACGUAGCGAAAUGCGAUAGGUAAUGUGAAUUGCAGAAUUCAGUGAAUCAUCGAAUCUUUGAACGCACAUUGCGCCCAUUAGUAUUCUAGUGGGCAUGCCUGUUCGAGCGUCAUUAAGUCCACUUAAGCCCUGCUUAGUGUUGGGAGACUGCUCCAGCGGUGCUACCCUGUAGCUACCCUGCAGCUCCUCAAAGACAGCGGCGGAGUUGUGGUAUCCUCUGAGCUUAGUAACUUGUUCUAGCUUUCGAGUACACCACUUCCCCUGCCGUAAAACCCUUAAUUUUGAAUGGUUGACCUCGGAUCAGGUAGGAAUACCCGCUGAACUUAAGCAUAUCAAUAAGCGGAGGA
rnacentral:misc_RNA from 1 species